CAGGCUGGAGUAGACAGGAACCACGAGAGGCAGGGAGGACUGUACAGGGGUUGCUGACCAGGUGGAAGAUGAUGGGAGCCUCAGAAGGUGUCGUGGGACAGGGUCAGGGAGAGGGCUCUAUGCGGCCAGGAUCUGGAUGCAGAUUGUUGAGACUGAAAUUUGGCUCAGAUCCCUUCUAGUUGUGUCUGUUUAUCUUCAGUUUCCUUGUCUAUAAAAUGGGGAGAGAUUGUGUGUCCCCGGCAUCACUGGACUGUUAAUAGCUAUUGCAUUUAUAGCAUUUAUCCCAGAACCUGAAACACAGUAAAUGCUCAGUAAGUGUUAUUAUUUGCCCCAAACUGUCUUAGUGCUUUCCCCAAGAGCUUUGUGUUGUUUGUACUAUGAGGAAUAAUGAGGGUGGUGUGGGAGUCGGCCUCUGUGUCUGCAGAGAGGACCACAGGCCACAGGAAUAGAGACAGGUAGAUAGGAUCAAGGUGACAGGAACAGAUGUUCAGAGCAAGAGAUGAAGACGGCAUCAUCAACCCAGACAAGCCAGUUGGAGGCAUCUGUCCACCCAUGUGGUUCCAGACACGUUCAUGUGGCCACCAUGACCCCGUCGGCAUCACAGGGGUAACCAAGAGAGCAGCAAGUUCCUGGGACAGAGGAGACAGAAGGGAAUUUCCAGGUUCUUCAGGACGUUCACAACCACACUGAGAAGCAUCUUUGCAGAUAAGUAUUUAAACUUACCAGCCCAUAGCCUACCAGCCUGCCCUCUUCUGGUCUGUGCAGGAAAGUGUAGUAUCCUAGAAUGCCAAAGUGGGAGGGGAAAUGGGUGAUGUAGCUCAUUCUCUUUUCUACCUCUAUGGAAGAAAGAAAGAGCCUGUCCCCAUUUUGUGGGGUCCCAGAAAGGGUGAUUUUCACACUUCACAUUUGGCGUUAGGGCUAGUAUUUCACAAACAUUACCGUCUGGAACUUUUGAAGGCUGA
rnacentral:lncRNA from 10 species